rfam:Candidatus Levybacteria bacterium RIFCSPLOWO2_01_FTLL_42_15 rifcsplowo2_01_scaffold_7460, whole genome shotgun sequence.
GGGGAUGCAUUGAUUCGACAAGAGAGCUCAUUAAAAAAUCGCAAGCCGACUUUGAUUAUUAGUCGCUAAACAGAAUCAAAAUAUAAAUGCUAACGAUUCAAAACGUUACGCGUUUGUUCCAGCUUAUUCUGCUGGGGUAAGCAAUUACCUCGCAGCGUAAGGCUUAGAGCUGUUCAUGGCGUCUUUCUCAACGGGACAACAUGAGCAUAAACACAGUUGAGAAAACAUAAGGAAAUUGGUUAGUCCUUAUCCAUUUAUUUUUAACCUUGGUUGUAUUUAUUCCUGUCGAUUGGUGACAAUACAAUGACAAUAAUAAUCGACUACGCUUGUAGCGGUUUUUUAAAAAGCGUUCUUGGACUCCGGGUCACUCCCGGACAUCUCCACAA